rnacentral:rRNA from 1 species
GACGAACGCUGGCGGCGCGCCUAACACAUGCAAGUCGAACGAGCGAGAGAGAGCUUGCUUUCUCCAGCGAGUGGCGAACGGGUGAGUAACGCGUGAGGAACCUGCCUCAAAGAGGGGGACAACAGUUGGAAACGACUGCUAAUACCGCAUAAGCCCACGACCCGGCAUCGGGUAGAGGGAAAAGGAGCAAUCCGCUUUGAGAUGGCCUCGCGUCCGAUUAGCUAGUUGGUGAGGUAACGGCCCACCAAGGCGACGAUCGGUAGCCGGACUGAGAGGUUGAACGGCCACAUUGGGACUGAGACACGGCCCAGACUCCUACGGGAGGCAGCAGUGGGGAAUAUUGCACAAUGGGGGAAACCCUGAUGCAGCGACGCCGCGUGGAGGAAGAAGGUCUUCGGAUUGUAAACUCCUGUUGUUGAGGAAGAUAAUGACGGUACUCAACAAGGAAGUGACGGCUAACUACGUG